rnacentral:rRNA from 1 species
UACGUAGGGUGCAAGCGCUGUCCGGAAUUAUUGGGCGUAAAGAGCUCGUAGGCGGUCUGUCGCGUCUGCUGUGAAAACCUAGGGCUUAACUCUGGGCGUGCAGUGGGUACGGGCAGGCUAGAGUGCGGUAGGGGAGACUGGAAUUCCUGGUGUAGCGGUGAAAUGCGCAGAUAUCAGGAGGAACACCGGUGGCGAGGGCGGGUCUCUGGGCCGUAACUGACGCUGAGGAGCGAAAGCAUGGGGAGCGAACAGG